rnacentral:rRNA from 1 species
CGCGUAGGUGGCUCGAUAAGUAGGAGGUGAAAUCUCACGGCUCAACCGGGAGGCUGCCUUCUAGACUGUCGAGCUCGAGCAUGGUAGAGGCAGAUGGAAUUCCCGGUGUAGCGGUGGAAUGCGUAGAGAUCGGGAAGAACACCAGUGGCGAAGGCGGUCUGCUGGGCCAUAGCUGACACUGAGGCGCGACAGCGUGGGGAGCAAACAGGAUUAGAUACCCUGGUAGUCCACGCCGUAAACGAUGGGCACUAGGCGUCGGGGGGAGCGACCCUCUCGGUGCCGUAGUUAACACUCUAAGUGCCCCGCCUGGGGAGUACGGCCGCAAGGCUGAA